rnacentral:rRNA from 1 species
GAGCUAACGCGUUAAGUCGACCGCCUGGGGAGUACGGCCGCAAGGUUAAAACUCAAAUGAAUUGACGGGGGCCCGCACAAGCGGUGGAGCAUGUGGUUUAAUUCGAUGCAACGCGAAGAACCUUACCUGGUCUUGACAUCCACGGAAGUUUUCAGAGAUGAGAAUGUGCCUUCGGGAACCGUGAGACAGGUGCUGCAUGGCUGUCGUCAGCUCGUGUUGUGAAAUGUUGGGUUAAGUCCCGCAACGAGCGCAACCCUUAUCCUUUGUUGCCAGCGGUCCGGCCGGGAACUCAAAGGAGACUGCCAGUGAUAAACUGGAGGAAGGUGGGGAUGACGUCAAGUCAUCAUGGCCCUUACGACCAGGGCUACACACGUGCUACAAUGGCGCAUACAAAGAGAAGCGACCUCGCGAGAGCAAGCGGACCUCAUAAAGUGCGUCGUAGUCCGGAUUGGAGUCUGCAACUCGACUCCAUGAAGUCGGAAUCGCUAGUAAUCGUGGAUCAGAAUGCCACGGUGAAUACGUUCCCGGGCCUUGUACACACCGCCCGUCACACCAUGGGAGUGGGUUGCAAAAGAAGUAGGUAGCUUAACCUUCGGGAGGGCGCUUACCACUUUGUGAUCCAUGACUGGGGUGAAGUCGU